UCUUCGCUAAUGUAAUCGAAGAGACAAAUAAAAGUUAUUAUUAUUAUUAUUAAUCACACCUACAGCUGUCAAACAUAGCAAACUCAUUAUUUAAUGUGGUGAAUGCAAUAUAUUUUGGCUCUGCUUGUUUGUAUAGACACCUAACAACAGGGUAAACCGAUUUUAGGCCUAAAAGAGGGGUCAAAACACAGACUCCUCCUUAUUGCCCUUGCAUAGUCCCCUGUCACAUAUGAAAUAAAGUAGACAAUAGAAGCAAUAUAUUUGUUACAGCGAGUUAUUAUAUUUUCAUCCAAUCGUUACUUCGUAUCCAUGUUUUGCUUAUUGUCAUGAUUACCCGGUCACAUGGGCAGUUCUUUGUUAUGAACCACGUUGUAUUAACAUAGAUACCUAAACAUAUAGAUACGAAACUGGCGAAAAAAGUUUAGACAGGUCACGCUUUAGUAAAUCCGUGCUAAUUCCGAUUUCUUAAUAGGGUUGAAUUGCAGUAUUAUGCAGAUUUUGACAGUUUGUUGUUUAUACAGACGCACAAAUACAGUAUUACAAAAAUAGCGCACUGCUGUAUUCGUGGUUGCUCUUAUGAGUGUGGGAGCAACAUUUCCAAACGUCCCUAUUUAAAAUGUUGGUAGCCGAUCUGGCCAAGCAUCAAGCAUGUAGAGAAGGCACCGUAAAGAACUGGCAGUGCAUUUUGUCUUACCGGAACUCUGAUCCCGCGAAAGGAGAAAGAUAUGUUGCACAGAGAAAGGCCAUCUAUCUGUGAGGCACAUUUUAAGCGAGAAGACAUCAAUGUACAGUCUACAUGUAAACAAUUAAAUUUGGUGUUGUACUUUUGUUGAACUUGCCUGCAAAAUUCAUUGCACCAAAUCCAUAUUGACCAAGCCAUUUAAUGUCCAUUCACUUGGGGUAAUUACAUUAAAUUCAAGUGUAACUUAGCUUAAAGCUUUCAGACCACUUACAAUGGCUUGUAGCCUACUUAUCCAAGCCAUUUUAUGGACCCACAUGCAGAAUUUGUACCACCUAGAAUAAAGAGAGUGUCAAAUGUUCAUAUUGAACUAAGUUGUAGAUGACUCUCCGCUCUCGGUUUGAAUGUAGGAAAGACUCUGCAUCAAGAUAUACCUACUCUGAUAGAAUUACAGAGUUGAUCUUACUGAUGGACAAGUAAUAAUUUCAAUCCCAACAUUUUACAGGUGGUGUAAAAUGAUUACUUGCUCUGUGAAUUAUUCUAUUUAUUCUGCAAAUGAUGAUCAUCUAGACUGGUUGAAUACGAAGUUUGUUCAAUAUCUUUUGGAUUGGCAAGUAAACGUUUAAAGAGGUUAGAUUUGGUGAAAGAUUAAUAUUAAAUAAUUGUGUUCUUAAGAGUAAGACUGAGGUGGUGCAUGAUCGUCCAGCCAAUGGUCUAAAUACAUCUGUAUUGGUAGUUUGGUAGCAAUUUGGUAUAUUCAGUCAGGAUGUCUUAGCAGCUAUCUUUAAAUAUUUUGUAAAUGAUCAUAACAAAAAACUUGCUGAAGCAUUAUUGCAAAGAUUUAUUUUUUUGAGAAACAUGAUAAGAAAAAACACUGAUCCAAUAUUUUGCAGGUUGGGUUGGGUGUGAAUGUGAUAUGGCAACGAGAAACGAUAAAACAAAUUAAGGUGAUAACACUUCUUACGGCACGAAAAUAGCUUAGACAUCUGUGAACAACUACUUUCAAUGAACAAUUACUUUGAAACAAAGAUUUUGCAAAAUUGUGACCGAACUUUUAUUUCCAUUAAAAAUGUAAAAAGUAUCA